CUCAUACAAAACCAAAUUAGACUAAACGUUACAGUACCAUGGUCUCUCUGAUAAUACUUAGUAAUGGUAAAACUUCAAUUAUUCCCUAAUUCAACGUUUACCUUUCCAGUGGACCCGGGAUUAGCCCGGAAUUCUUUGGGUUUGAGUUUCUCAAUCUAUAGUUUUUAAUCAUUUGUGUUUUGUGACUGAGUUGUUUGUAUUUUACUCAGUUUUCUUUUCCGUCAUGGUGCUGAUACCCCUUAGUUAUCUUCCCACCUUUCUAAAACAUCAAUACAAGCAUAUGAAUACAUUUUCCUUUUAUUGCACCUCCAUGCAAAAAUUAUAAAUAUUCAACAAACUAAAUGUUCACUCAGCGAAAAACUUGUCGAUUACGAAAAGUCUGUGUUUCCGCUUGGUGUAAUCGUUCAUAAACCAUGUUCAAUUCCGAUUCCGAAUAAGUCAAUUUGUUGCUAGAUCGACUUUGUUUACUGUCACAACUUUUGGCAGACUUUCUUGGUCGUCUCUCUUGUGUUUUAUAUAACCUCCCCACAAUCUCGUCUACUUGUGUGUUAUCUGCCUCCCUGAAAGCUGGAGCUUUUGGUAAAUAGGUUUUAAAUUCCGGUA
rnacentral:lncRNA from 1 species